UACAGAGGGUGCAAGCGUUGUUCGGAAUUACUGGGCGUAAAGCGUGCGCAGGCGGCUUUCCAAGUCAGUGGUGAAAGCCCGGAGCUCAACUCCGGAAAUGCCAUUGAAACUGUGAAGCUUGAGAACGAGAGAGGUGAGUGGAAUUCCCAGUGUAGAGGUGAAAUUCGUAGAUAUUGGGAAGAACACCAGUGGCGAAGGCGGCUCACUGGCUCGUAACUGACGCUCAUGCACGACAGCGUGGGGAUCAAACAGG
rnacentral:rRNA from 1 species